rnacentral:rRNA from 1 species
GUGGGGAAUCUUGCGCAAUGGGCGAAAGCCUGACGCAGCCAUGCCGCGUGAAUGAUGAAGGUCUUAGGAUUGUAAAAUUCUUUCACCGGGGACGAUAAUGACGGUACCCGGAGAAGAAGCUCCGGCUAACUUCGUGCCAGCAGCCGCGGUAAUACGAAGGGGGCUAGCGUUGCUCGGAAUUACUGGGCGUAAAGGGCGCGUAGGCGGACAGCUUAGUCAGAGGUGAAAGCCCAGGGCUCAACCUUGGAAUUGCCUUUGAUACUGGCUGUCUUGAGUUUGGGAGAGGUGAGUGGAACUCCGAGUGUAGAGGUGAAAUUCGUAGAUAUUCGGAAGAACACCAGUGGAGAAGGCGACUCACUGGCCCAAUACUGACGCUGAGGCGCGAAAGCGUGGGGAGCAAACAGGAUUAGAUACCCUGGUAGUCC